UACGGGGGGAGCAAGCGUUGUUCGGAUUUACUGGGCGUAAAGGGCGCGUAGGCGGUCCGCUAAGUUAGAUGUGAAAACUCUGGGCUCAACCCAGAGCCUGCAUCUAAUACUGACGGGCUAGAGUUCUGGAGGGGGUAGCGGAAUUCCUGGUGUAGCGGUGAAAUGCGUAGAUAUCAGGAGGAACACCGGUGGCGAAGGCGGCUACCUGGACAGAAACUGACGCUGAGGCGCGAAAGCUAGGGGAGCAAACAGG
rnacentral:rRNA from 1 species